UACAGAGGUCUCAAGCGUUGUUCGGAUUCAUUGGGCGUAAAGGGUGCGUAGGCGGCGCGGUAAGUCGGGUGUGAAAUCUCGGAGCUUAACUCCGAAACUGCAUUCGAUACUGCCGUGCUUGAGGACUGGAGAGGAGACUGGAAUUUACGGUGUAGCGGUGAAAUGCGUAGAUAUCGUAAGGAAGACCAGUGGCGAAGGCGGGUCUCUGGACAGUUCCUGACGCUGAGCACGAAGGCAGGGGAGCAAACGGG
rnacentral:rRNA from 1 species